rnacentral:rRNA from 1 species
UACGGGAGGCAGCAGUGGGGAAUUUUCCGCAAUGGGCGAAAGCCUGACGGAGCAAUCUCGCGUGAGGGAUGACGGCCUAUGGGUUGUAAACCUCUUUUUUCAGGGAUGAAUAAAAUGACGUGUACCUGAAGAAU